rnacentral:rRNA from 1 species
CCUACGGGAGGCAGCAGUGAGGAAUAUUGGUCAAUGGACGAGAGUCUGAACCAGCCAAGUCGCGUGAAGGAUGACUGCCCUAUGGGUUGUAAACUUCUUUUAUAAAGGAAUAAAACGUGGCACGUGUGCCUUUUUGCAUGUACUUUAUGAAUAAGGAUCGGCUAACUCCGUGCCAGCAGCCGCGGUAAUACGGAGGAUCCGAGCGGUAUCCGGAUUUAUUGGGUGUAAAGGGAGCGUAGAUGGGUUGAUAAGUCAGUUGUGAAAGUUUGCGGCUCAACCGUAAAAUUACUAUUGAUACUGGCAGUCGUGAGUACAGUUGGGGUAGGCGGAAUUCGUGGUGUAGCGGUGAAAUGCUUAGAUAUUACGAAGAACCCCGAUGGCGAAGGCAGCUUACUAAACUGUGACUGACAUUGAGGCUCGAAAGUGUGGGUAUCAAACAGGAUUAGAUACCCUUGUAGUC